CUGUAGUUUUCCUAUUAUAGCUAUUAUUCUUUUGCUGUAUCUGCACAUUUUAAGUUACUUUAAGAAACGUCACAUGCCAGCCUGGUUUUCAAUUCUGGAUUAUAGUAUUCAAAAGUGAACGUUUCCUUCUUUCUACAAACUUUUUAAAGUAAAGUUAAACACUGUACCUUAACUUUAAAAAUUUUAAAUUCACUUACCUCUAAUGGUGAACUAAUAGGAUGGAAUGACCUAGGGGCCUCAGAUAGACCUCACUUCGCAAGUCAAGCGCAAAUGUCUUCACAUACGACUUCAAGUAUUUCUGCAAGUGACAAAGUAUCCCCUAAGAAAAAGGUGGUGGCCAAACAUGUAAGAAGGCCAAAACUGAAAGGUAAUGUGCGACCACGGACAUAAGAAUGGGCUAACAAUAGGGCCCUCAUGGCUGAGGCCAGCCAUCUUACAUUGCCACUACAACUUAAUGAAAUCAAGGGCUGCAAAACUGAAGGCACAGAAAACAGACAAAAUGCUAUUUAAUGACGUAAAAAAAAAGUAAUAUGCAAAAUUGUACUCCAAGAAGAAAGAUUAAAAAUUCUUCAUAUUGUAUGCAAAAACUGUACAUUAAAUGUCUUGCACAAAACAAAGUAUCAGAGCUACCCUGAAAAUAUUUUUGAAAAAGUUAUAUAACCACAAUAGGAUGAUUUUAUUUACAGGACAACAAUUAUGUCUGAAUUUUACAACAGUCAUGUCAUGAUCUUAAAGUCAAGCUUAAUAAGGAAGUCAUAUUUUUUUUACAAGAACUAAUAAGAUUAACAAUAAGUCAGAAUACAGUAUUAGAAAAUCAAAUUUUUCCAAGAUAUGAAAAAAGACAUUCAUUUUGGAUUUUAUUUUACUAUUGAUGCUUUUUUACAUGUUCUUUU